rnacentral:rRNA from 1 species
UACGAAGGGGGCGAGCGUUGUUCGGAUUUACUGGGCGUAAAGGGCGCGCAGGCGGCUUUGUUUGUCAGGCGUGAAAGCCCCGGGCUUAACCUGGGAACUGCGUUUGAUACGGCAGGGCUAGAGUUCGGGAGAGGAGAGUGGAAUUCCCAGUGUAGAGGUGAAAUUCGUAGAUAUCGGGAGGAACACCGGUGGCGAAGGCGGCGACCUGGGUGGAUACUGACGCUGAGGCGCGAAAGCGUGGGGAGCAAACAGG